UACGGGGGGGGCAAGCGUUGUUCGGAAUUACUGGGCGUAAAGGGCUCGUAGGUGGCCAACUAAGUCAGACGUGAAAUCCCUCGGCUUAACCGGGGAACUGCGUCUGAUACUGGAUGGCUUGAGUUCGGGAGAGGGAUGCGGAAUUCCAGGUGUAGCGGUGAAAUGCGUAGAUAUCUGGAGGAACACCGGUGGCGAAGGCGGCAU
rnacentral:rRNA from 1 species